rnacentral:rRNA from 1 species
CACGUAGGGGGCGAGCGUUGUCCGGAUUUAUUGGGCGUAAAGAGCUCGUAGGCGGCUAAGUAAGUCGGGUGUGAAAACUCCAGGCUCAACCUGGAGACGCCACCCGAUACUGCUUUGGCUAGAGUCCGGUAGGGGAGCAUGGGAAUUCCUGGUGUAGCGGUGAAAUGCGCAGAUAUCAGGAGGAACACCAGUGGCGAAGGCGGUGCUCUGGGCCGGAACUGACGCUGAGGAGCGAAAGCGUGGGGAGCAAACAGG